rnacentral:rRNA from 1 species
CCUACGGGAGGCAGCAGUGAGGAAUAUUGGUCAAUGGACGAGAGCCUGAACCAGCCAAGUCGCGUGAAGGAUGACUGUCCUAUGGGUUGUAAACUUCUUUUAUAAGGGAAUAAAACGAGGCACGUGUGCUAUUUUGCAUGUACUUUAUGAAUAAGGAUCGGCUAACUCCGUGCCAGCAGCCGCGGUAAUACGGAGGAUCCGAGCGUUAUCCGGAUUUAUUGGGUUUAAAGGGAGCGUAGAUGGGUUUUUAAGUCAGAUGGGAAAGUCUGCGGCUCAACCCUAGAAUUGCCAUUGAAACUGGGAGUCUUGAGUACGGUUGAGGUAGGCGGAAUGCGUGGUGUAGCGGUGAAAUGCUUAGAUAUCACGAAGAACCCCAAUGGCGAAGGCAGCUUACUAAGCUGUGACUGACGUUGAUGCUCGAAAGUGUGGGGAUCAAACAGGAUUAGAUACCCGGGUAGUC